ensembl:snoRNA SNORA74 Small nucleolar RNA SNORA74
CCCAGCUGUAGUCAACUGCCCAGGUUGCUUUGUACCUAAAGCAAGUGUUAUACUGCUGGGAGAAAAGCAGCCAGUAGCUGGUGGGCAUUCUGGGCCUGGUUAAUGCCAAAUUU